rnacentral:rRNA from 1 species
GUAGUCAUAUGCUUGUCUCAAAGCUUAAGCCAUGCAAGUCUAAGUUCAGGCUCGUUCCUUUCGGGGAGCGAGUCGAAACUGCGAACGGCUCAUUAGUCAGAUAACGUUCCUUGGCAAAUAGCGGGUCGAUUUGAAUGGAUAACUGUGGUAAUUCUAGAGCUAAUACAUGCAACAUCACCGUGGAGCCCCUUCGGGGGACGCGGCAUUUAUUCUCUAAACCAAGAUCGCCCUAGCCCGCCGAACUGCCAAAAGACAGCGAGGGGGUGAAAACGACAAGUGUUGAAUUCCGAAUAACUGUGCCGAUCGCGGGGUCCACCCGGGCCCCCGACGACUUUGCCAUGAAGUGUCUGUCCCAUCAAUUGGCGAUGGUCGGCGACCUGCCUACCACGGUGAUGACGGGUAACGGGGAAUCAGGGUUCGAUUCCGGAGAGGGAGCCUGCGAAACGGCUACCACCUCCAAGGAGGGCAGCAGGCGCGCAACUUACCCAAUCCCGAUCACGGGGAGGUAGUGACGAAAAAUAACGUGGCGGGGCCCUUACGUGGUCGCCGCGGGCGGAAUGAGCGCAAUGUAAAAGAUUGUGCGAGGAUCCAUUGGAGGGCAAG